rnacentral:sRNA from 1 species
UGUUCCCGGGUUGGCCGCAUGAACCAGCUGGUAACAGCUGGUCUAGAUAGAUGGUCAUCGCCCUUGCCUUCGGGCAAGGGUACAGAACUCGGCUUACAGGUCUGCUUGGCUUAAAUUUUAUUAGUAAACCACUCCUUUUUAAGGGGUGGUUUUGUUAUUUAAAAACUAUUCAGGCCGUAUUCGUCUGGUAUAGUUAAGCCGGGUGUUUAGAUAGUAGAGCAGCAAAAGGCUGCUUUCGCUUGCAGCCAUUACCGUCAUUGCCGUAAACAUGUUGGUUACGUAUUCUCUGGCUGGAGCUGAGUC